GUGGGGAAUAUUGGACAAUGGGCGAAAGCCUGAUCCAGCCAUGCCGCGUGUGUGAAGAAGGUCUUCGGAUUGUAAAGCACUUUAAGUUGGGAGGAAGGGCAGUAAGCUAAUACCUUGCUGUUUUGACGUUACCGACAGAAUAAGCACCGGCUAACUUCGUGCCAGCAGCCGCGGUAAUACGAAGGGUGCAAGCGUUAAUCGGAAUUACUGGGCGUAAAGCGCGCGUAGGUGGUUUUGUAAGUUGGAGGUGAAAUCCCCGGGCUCAACCUGGGAACUGCCUCCAAAACUGCAUGACUAGAGUACGGUAGAGGGUAGUGGAAUUUCCUGUGUAGCGGUGAAAUGCGUAGAUAUAGGAAGGAACACCAGUGGCGAAGGCGACUACCUGGACUGAUACUGACACUGAGGUGCGAAAGCGUGGGGAGCAAACAGGAUUAGAAACCCGAGUAGUCC
rnacentral:rRNA from 1 species